CCACCGCCGCCACCUCCUCCGUACCUGUCACCACCGCCGCCUCCGGUAGGGCAGUCCCUAGCCAUGUGGCCAGACUCGCCACAGCUGUAGCACCCGUUACCACCGCCUCCGCUUCUUCCACCGCCACCAUAUCCACCUCCUCCGCCGCCAUAGCCACCACCGCCUCCUCCGUAUCCACCGCCACCUCCGUAGCCGCCGAUUGAAU
rnacentral:lncRNA from 1 species